rnacentral:rRNA from 1 species
GGAUGAACGCUGGCGGUCUGCUUAACACAUGCAAGUCGAACGCAACCUUCGGGUUGAGUGGCGGACGGGUGAGUAACGCGUGAGAAUCUGCCUUGGGGUCGGGGACAACCACUAGAAACGGUGGCUAAGUACCGGAUAAGCCUUUGGGUAAAAAAUUUAUUGCCCCAAGAGGAGCUCGCGUCUGAUUAGCUAGUUGGUGAGGUAAAAGCUCACCAAGGCAGCGAUCAGUAGCUGGUCUGAGAGGACGAUCAGCCACACUGGGACUGAGACACGGCCCAGACUCCUACGGGAGGCAGCAGUGGGGAAUUUUCCGCAAUGGGCGAAAGCCUGACGGAGCAAGACCGCGUGAGGGAGGAAGGCUCUUGGGUUGUAAACCUCUUUUCUCAGGGAAGAAGCUCUGACGGUACCUGAGGAAUCAGCCUCGGCUAACUCCGUGCCAGCAGCCGCGGUAAUACGGAGGAGGCAAGCGUUAUCCGGAAUUAUUGGGCGUAAAGCGUCCGCAGGUGGCGAUUCAAGUCUGCUGUCAAAGCACGGGGCUUAACUCCGUUAAGGCAGUGGAAACUGAAUAGCUAGAGUGCCGUACGGGUAGAGGGAAUUCCCGGUGUAGCGGUGAAAUGCGUAGAGAUCGGGAAGAACAUCGGUGGCGAAAGCGCUCUACUGGACGGCAACUGACACUCAGGGACGAAAGCUACGGGAGCGAAUGGGAUUAGAUACCCCAGUAGUCCUAGCUGUAAACGAUGGAUACUACGUGUAGCUUGUAUCGACCCGAGCUGUGCCGAAGCUAACGCGUUAAGUACCCCGCCUGGGGAAGUACGCACGCAAGUGUGA